rnacentral:rRNA from 1 species
CCUACGGGUGGCAGCAGUGGGGAAUAUUGGGCAAUGGGCGCAAGCCUGACCCAGCAACGCCGCGUGAAGGAAGAAGGCUUUCGGGUUGUAAACUUCUUUUAAGAGGGAAGAGCAGAAGACGGUACCUCUUGAAUAAGCCACGGCUAACUACGUGCCAGCAGCAGCGGUAAUACGGAGGGGCCAAGCGUUGUCCGGAUUUACUGGGUGUACAGGGCGUGUAGCCGGGCUGACAAGUCAGAUGUGAAAUCCGGGGGCUCAACCCCCGAACUGCAUUUGAAACUGUUGGUCUUGAGUAUCGGAGAGGCAGGCGGAAUUCCUAGUGUAGCGGUGAAAGGCGUAGAUAUUAGGCGGAACACCAGUGGCGAAGGCGGCCUGCUGGACGACAACUGACGGUGAGGCGCGAAAGCGUGGGGAGCAAACAGGAUUAGAUACCCCAGUAGUC